rnacentral:rRNA from 1 species
AGGGUUCGAUCCUGGCUCAGGAUGAACGCUGGCGGCGUGCCUAACACAUGCAAGUCGAACGGAGUUAUUUUGGAAAGUUGCUUCGGUAACUGGAAUCUAUAACUUAGUGGCGGACGGGUGAGUAACGCGUGAGCAAUCUGCCUUUAGGAGGGGGAUAACAGUCGGAAACGGCUGCUAAUACCGCAUGAUACGUUUGGGAGGCAUCUUCUGGACGUCAAAGAUUUUAUCGCCUUUAGAUGAGCUCGCGUCUGAUUAGCUGGUUGGCGGGGUAACGGCCCACCAAGGCGACGAUCAGUAGCCGGACUGAGAGGUUGAACGGCCACAUUGGGACUGAGACACGGCCCAG